GACGAACGCUGGCGGCGUGCUUAACACAUGCAAGUCGAACGGAAAGGCCCUGCUUUUGUGGGGUGCUCGAGUGGCGAACGGGUGAGUAACACGUGAGUAACCUGCCCUUGACUUUGGGAUAACUUCAGGAAACUGGGGCUAAUACCGGAUAGGAGCUCCUGCUGCAUGGUGGGGGUUGGAAAGUUUCGGCGGUUGGGGAUGGACUCGCGGCUUAUCAGCUUGUUGGUGGGGUAGUGGCUUACCAAGGCUUUGACGGGUAGCCGGCCUGAGAGGGUGACCGGCCACAUUGGGACUGAGAUACCGCCCAGACUCCUACGGGAGGCAGCAGUGGGGAAUAUUGCACAAUGGGCGGAAGCCUGAUGCAGCAACGCCGCGUGCGGGAUGACGGCCUUCGGGUUGUAAACCGCUUUCGCCUGUGACGAAGCGUGAGUGACGGUAAUGGGUAAAGAAGCACCGGCUAACUACGUGCCAGCAGCCGCGGUGAUACGUAGGGUGCGAGCGUUGUCCGGAUUUAUUGGGCGUAAAGGGCUCGUAGGUGGUUGAUCGCGUCGGAAGUGUAAUCUUGGGGCUUAACCCUGAGCGUGCUUUCGAUACGGGUUGACUUGAGGAAGGUAGGGGAGAAUGGAAUUCCUGGUGGAGCGGUGGAAUGCGCAGAUAUCAGGAGGAACACCAGUGGCGAAGGCGGUUCUCUGGGCCUUUCCUGACGCUGAGGAGCGAAAGCGUGGGGAGCGAACAGGCUUAGAUACCCUGGUAGUCCACGCUGUAAACGGUGGGUACUAGGUGUGGGGUCCAUUCCACGGGUUCCGUGCCGUAGCUAACGCUUUAAGUACCCCGCCUGGGGAGUACGGCCGCAAGGCUAAAACUCAAAGGAAUUGACGGGGCCCCGCACAAGCGGCGGAGCAUGCGGAUUAAUUCGAUGCAACGCGUAGAACCUUACCUGGGUUUGACAUGGAUCGGGAGUGCUCAGAGAUGGGUGUGCCUCUUUUGGGGUCGGUUCACAGGUGGUGCAUGGCUGUCGUCAGCUCGUGUCGUGAGAUGUUGGGUUAAGUCCCGCAACGAGCGCAACCCUUGUUCACUGUUGCCAGCACGUUAUGGUGGGGACUCAGUGGAGACCGCCGGGGUCAACUCGGAGGAAGGUGGGGAUGACGUCAAGUCAUCAUGCCCCUUAUGUCCAGGGCUUCACGCAUGCUACAAUGGCUGGUACAGAGAGUGGCGAGCCUGUGAGGGUGAGCGAAUCUCGGAAAGCCGGUCUCAGUUCGGAUUGGGGUCUGCAACUCGACCUCAUGAAGUCGGAGUCGCUAGUAAUCGCAGAUCAGCAACGCUGCGGUGAAUACGUUCCCGGGGCA
rnacentral:rRNA from 1 species